rnacentral:rRNA from 1 species
UAGGGAAUAUUGCACAAUGGAGGAAACUCUGAUGCAGCGACGCCGCGUGAGUGAUGAAGGCCUUCGGGUUGUAAAACUCUGUGAUAGGGGAAGAUAAUGACGGUACCCUAUCAGAAAGGACCGGCUAACUUCGUGCCAGCAGCCGCGGUAAUACGAGGGGUCCAAGCGUUGUUCGGAAUCACUGGGCGUAAAGCGGGUGCAGGUGGCUCUGCAAGUCUGAUGUGAAAGCCCUGGGCUCAACCCAGGAAGUGCAUCUGAUACUACAGAGCUUGAGUACGGGAGAGGGAAAUAGAAUUCCUGGUGUAGUGGUGAAAUACGUAGAUAUCAGGAGGAACACCGGUGGUGAAGACGGUUUCCUGGCCCAGUACUGACACUCAGACCCGAAAGCGUGGGUAGCAAA